GAUGAACGCUGGCGGCGUGCCUAAUACAUGCAAGUCGAACGCUGAAGGAAGGAGCUUGCUCUUUCCGGAUGAGCUGCGAACGGGUGAGUAACGCGUAGGUAACCUACCUGUUAGCGGGGGAUAACUAUGGGAAACGAUAGCUAAUACCGCAUAAUAUUAGAUGUUGCAUGAUAUCUACUUAAAAGGCGCAAUUGCACCACUACCAGAAUGACCUGCGUUGUCUUUGCUAGUUGGUUAGGUAACGGCCUACCAAGGCGACGAUACCUAGCCGACCUGAGAGGGUGGUCGGCCACACUGGGACUGGGGCCCCGGCCCGGAUCCUACCGGGAGCCGCCGUAGGGGAUUCUCGGGCAUGGGCGGAAGUCUGACCGGGGCACGCCGGGGGAGUGGAGGAGGUUUUCGGGUCGUUAAGAUCUGUUGAAUGAGGAGGACGAGUGUGGGAGUGGAAAGUUCACGCUGUGACGGUAUCUAACCAGAAAGGGACGGCUAACUACGUG
rnacentral:rRNA from 1 species